UAGGGAAUCUUCGGCAAUGGGGGCAACCCUGACCGAGCAACGCCGCGUGAGUGAAGAAGGUUUUCGGAUCGUAAAGCUCUGUUGUAAGAGAAGAACGUGUGUGAGAGUGGAAAGUUCACACAGUGACGGUAACUUACCAGAAAGGGACGGCUAACUACGUGCCAGCAGCCGCGGUAAUACGUAGGUCCCGAGCGUUGUCCGGAUUUAUUGGGCGUAAAGCGAGCGCAGGCGGUAUAAUAAGUCUGAAGUUAAAGGCAGUGGCUUAACCAUUGUUCGCUUUGGAAACUGUUAAACUUGAGUGCAGAAGGGGAGAGUGGAAUUCCAUGUGUAGCGGUGAAAUGCGUAGAUAUAUGGAGGAACACCGGUGGCGAAAGCGGCUCUCUGGUCUGUAACUGACGCUGAGGCUCGAAAGCGUGGGGAGCAAACAGG
rnacentral:rRNA from 1 species